rnacentral:rRNA from 1 species
GUAGGGAAUAUUGGUCAAUGGACGAAAGUCUGAACCAGCCAUUCCGCGUGCAGGAAGAAGAUUCUAUGGAUUGUAAACUGCUUUUAGCAGAGAAGAAACACCUUCUUUGAUGAGGGUUUGACGGUAUCUGCGGAAUAAGCACCGGCUAACUCCGUGCCAGCAGCCGCGGUAAUACGGGGGGUGCAAGCGUUAUCCGGAAUCACUGGGUUUAAAGGGUGCGUAGGCGGGAAAUUAAGUCAGUGGUGAAAGUCUGUUGCUUAACGAUAGAAUUGCCGUUGAUACUGAUUUUCUUGAAUUGGGUUGAGGUUAGCGGAAUGUGACAUGUAGCGGUGAAAUGCAUAGAUAUGUCAUGGAACACCAAUUGCGAAGGCAGCUAGCUGGGCCUUGAUUGACGCUGAGGCACGAAAGCGUGGGUAGCGAACAGGAUUAGAUACCCUAGUAGUCC